CUCACAACCAGGCCUUCGGCCUCUCUGAGUCAUUAAUCUCACAAUCAGACUCUUGGUCUAUCUUAGUCAUCAAUCUCACAAUUAGGCCUUCGGCUUCUCUCAAUCAUCAACCUUACAAAUCACUCGGACUAUCAGUAAAAUAGGGCGUACAGAUUAAAUAUCAUUUAUAGUGCCAAAAUUUAGUAGAUAAGGCUGAGUUAGGAAAUUUUAAAAAAAUGCAGCAUGACCGAGUACAAUUAUUAAGUCAAAACAGUGAGAAAAAAGUAGUAAAAGUCCCAUAAUGGUCCAAAACAGUCGGCACGAUGCCCAAACAUAGCAUUUAACCCAAAACAUGAUAAUAACAAACAGUUUUCAAUCAAAUACGCAGCAAAACAGUCAUACGGGACGAACAUAAGUCACAAUCCCCAACGGUGCACGACCCCACGCUCGUCAUCUAGUAUGUGUGUCACCUCAAAAUAUCACAACGAUGUGAAAUCUGGGGUUCAAACCCUCAGGACAACAUUUAUAAUCAUUACUUACCUCUAUCCUGUCCAAACUCUAGCACGCGAUGCCUUUGCCUCUCGAAUCAGCCUCCAAUUGCUCUAAAAAUAACCAAAAUCAGUUCCACAUCACUAAUACAUGCUAAAGGAACGAAGCCCAAGCGAAAAUAAUCGAAUUAACUCAAAAAUCCUGAAAUUGGCCAAACCCGACCCCCGGGCCUACGUCUCGGAACCCAACAAAAAUUACAUCAAUAGAAUCCCCAUCCUCCCACGAGUCUAUACAUAUUAAGAACAUCAAAAUCGGACCUCAAAUGGCCCAUCAAAUCCCUACUCAAAAGUCUCUUAAUCUCAAGCCCUGAUUGCCACACCUCCUUUUUACCUACACCCCUAUAAGGGUAUAAAGAGAGUUUUUUCCAAUUAAAGUGAUAAUCAAAACGGGAUUAAUUUUUAGAUUCAGCGUCGCCACUUGGGAUAAUUUAUGGUGUCCCAAGUCACUGAUUUUAAAUCCCGAAUCGAGGAAAGAUUGACUCUGUUCUAUAGUCCGCGAACGCAGAAAUCUGGAUAAGGAAUUCUGUUAACCCGGGAGAAGGUGUUAGGCAUUUCCGGGUUCUGUGGUUCUAGCACGGUCGUUCAACUAUUACAAUUGGCCUAUUAUCUGAUUUUAAUACAUGUUUUAGCCUAUGGUUCAAUUUUAACUUUAUAACUGCUUUUAUUUAUUUUUAAGGAAGAUUGCAACGUCAUUUAAAAUAUGUCUUGAACCACGUCAUAUAAAUGCACCCACAGUCCGCAACACAUUUUAUCUAAUGUUGUUGAGAUUUGGAUUUGGGUCACAUAAAUGCGCACCCGAGUUUAGGAAGUAAACUAUUAAAUAGCCCACCUAAAGCAACUACGCAUUUUAAAUCUGCGAGGGCCAAGGAGAUUCAACUAAAUGGCACGCCUCGAAUUCUAAGGAUAAAAAUUAAUUGAGUGAGGACCAUGGGUUUCGGAAUUUUAUUUGGUAUGGCACGCCUCGAAUUAUUCCAAAGGGUUGUAUUAUUCGAAGUUGUUAUGAUCGGGUCACAUAAAAUGCACCCCCAAAUUUUGUAAUUAGGCAUCGUAACUACGUCACGGAAACCGUACCCAUAGUCACAAUGGUUUAUUAAUCGUGCCUAAAGCAACUAGCGCAUUUGAGUUAUUUUUAAAUUUUUGAGGUUAUUGAAGUCGAGAGCUAGGGAACCAUGUAUUGGAUUGGAAUAAGUGUUGGCAAUUCAACAUUCAUCAACUGUGAGCCUAACCUCAUGCCCAGUUGAAGCAAACACUACGUCCUAAAAUUCCAUAAAAGCCGAAGUCCAUUGGCACAUAAAGGAAAUUCAAAUUUUGAAGUACUACAACCACAACUUUCAUUUCAACUUUCUGAUUCUUAAUAGUCAAUGACAAUAAUACAUAGACAAGCAAGUCAUAAAGAAUGAACAGUAAUGGUCAAAAGCAUGAAACUAAGGAAUGAAAAUUCACAGAAUAGGUCAUAGAAAAGACUGUUGAAAACUUGAACGUUGAAACCAUCAUCCAAUUUGUAGAAAUUGAAGUAAUAACUAAAAAAAACUUGUCUACUGUUGUUCUUUGUUUUUCUUUUUAACUGAAGUAGGAGUAAUUUAUUUAUUUAUUCUCUCAAAUAACCACUUUAAUCUCUCAAAUUCAUGUCUAAAACCACACAAAAUAAAUUUGCAUUACUUACAGACAUAACAUCCCAUCGGUAUCUAUGUAUCAUGCUAUUUGAAAAUAAAUCAAAGAAGCAAUGAUCUAAUUACAUGAUUAUUCCAACAAAAUUUAAUCAUGUAUGAGUAAUAAAUAACUAGCUCAAUCUCGUAAACUAAAGGAACUCAUUUCAUUGUUCCAACAUUCUUCACGUCAAAUAAAGGAUCUUAAGUUUCUAACCAUUCUUUCAAAGCCAAGUUAAACAACAACUAAUAAUUCCACACACACACACAAAAAUAGAUCUGAGAAAAUUUUUUUGAAGAACAUACCUCGCGGCGCAAGGUUUCAAUUUAAAAGAGAUGAAAACUAAAUAAGACUGGAAUUGACAAGUUUGAAGCUCGGUAACAGCAGAAUCAACAAAACCCAGCUUCCAUUUCUAGAAAACUUGGAAAAUAACAAACUUCAAGUAGCCAAAUAAAGGCUGAAUUAGACAGAUUUGUACCAAAAGAAGCCAAAAUAAGCUGGUUCUAGCAGUAGAGCAGCAACAAACGAGCAACAAACACCCACGAAUUUGAGCAUCAACAGCCCCUUAGAUCCAGGGAAGAGGAGUCGGAACUUUAAAAAUUUAGCAAACGAUUUCUUCUCCAAAUCACUUCGAAAUCUGAUUUUGGUGCAGAUGCAAAUUAAAAAAAAAAACUUAACUAUACUUGGAGAGAACACAAAUGAAGAAAGAGGGCAAAUGGAACAUUUUCUGGUGAGCCGAUUUUUCUCUUGGGUGGGGAUGGCGCAAUCUGAUGUUUAGAGGUGAUGAAGGAAGGGAUUCCACCGUUG
rnacentral:lncRNA from 1 species